rnacentral:antisense_RNA from 1 species
UUUCUGGUGACGUUUGGCGGCAUCUGUUUGCCCAUGAACUGAUGUCCGCCC